AAUGUAUUGCACUUGUUUUUUUAGUGUCCCAAGUAUUUCACAUUUGAAGUCCUGCAGGAGUUCAGGGCAGUUAUUGCUUUUGGAAAGAAACUGUUUUUGAGUCUGUUUGUUUUAGUCCUGAUGCACCUGU